GAUGAACGCUGGCGGCGUGCCUAAUACAUGCAAGUCGAGCGAACGGACGAGAAGCUUGCUUCUCUGAUGUUAGCGGCGGACGGGUGAGUAACACGUGGAUAACCUACCUAUAAGACUGGGAUAACUUCGGGAAACCGUAGCUAAUACCGGAUAAUAUAUUGAACCGCAUGGUUCAAUAGUGAAAGACGGUCUUGCUGUCACUUAUAGAUGGAUCCGCGCUGCAUUAGCUAGUUGGUAAGGUAACGGCUUACCAAGGCAACGAUGCAUAGCCGACCUGAGAGGGUGAUCGGCCACACUGGAACUGAGACACGGUCCAGACUCCUACGGGAGGCAGCAGUAGGGAAUCUUCCGCAAUGGGCGAAAGCCUGACGGAGCAACGCCGCGUGAGUGAUGAAGGUCUUCGGAUCGUAAAACUCUGUUAUUAGGGAAGAACAAAUGUGUAAGUAACUGUGCACAUCUUGACGGUACCUAAUCAGAAAGCCACGGCUAACUACGUG
rnacentral:rRNA from 1 species